rnacentral:rRNA from 1 species
GACGAACGCUGGCGGCGUGCUUAACACAUGCAAGUCGAACGAUGAGCCAGGGCUUGCCCUGGGGAUUAGUGGCGAACGGGUGAGUAACACGUGGGCAGCCUGCCCCAGGCACCGGGAUAACCUCUCGAAAGAGUGGCUAAUACCGGAUAUGACCACUUUGGGCAUCCAACGGUGGUGGAAAGGAUUCUGGUCUGGGAUGGGCCCGCGGCCUAUCAGCUUGUUGGUGGGGUAAUGGCCUACCAAGGCGACGACGGGUAGCCGGCCUGAGAGGGCGACCGGCCACACUGGGACUGAGACACGGCCCAGACUCCUACGGGAGGCAGCAGUGGGGAAUAUUGCGCAAUGGGCGAAAGCCUGACGCAGCGACGCCGCGUGAGGGACGAAGGUCUUCGGAUUGUAAACCUCUUUCAGCAGGGACGAAGCGAAAGUGACUGUACCUGCAGAAGAAGCACCGGCUAACUACGUGCCAGCAGCCGCGGUAACAC